AUGAACGCUGGCGGCGUGCCUAAUACAUGCAAGUCGAGCGAACGGACGAGAAGCUUGCUUCUCUGAUGUUAGCGGCGGACGGGUGAGUAACACGUGGAUAACCUACCUAUAAGACUGGGAUAACUUCGGGAAACCGGAGCUAAUACUGGAUGAUAUUUUGAACCGCAUGGUUCAAAAGUGAAAGACGGUCUUGCUGUCACUUAUAGAUGGAUCCGCGCUGCAUUAGCUAGUUGGUAAGGUAACGGCUUACCAAGGCAACGAUGCAUGGCCGACCUGAGAGGGUGAUCGGCCACACUGGAACUGAGACACGGUCCAGACUCCUACGGGAGGCAGCAGUAGGGAAUCUUCCGCAAUGGGCGAAAGCCUGACGGAGCAACGCCGCGUGAGUGAUGAAGGUCUUCGGAUCGUAAAACUCUGUUAUUAGGGAAGAACAUAUGUGUAAGUAACUGUGCACAUCUUGACGGUACCUAAUCAGAAAGCCACGGCUAACUACGUG
rnacentral:rRNA from 1 species